AAAAGACGCGAUCCUGAAAGGCGCAUCUAAACCAGGAGGAAGCAAAGCGGUGACCUGACUGGUCCACGUCAUGUGGCCGAGGGCCCGCAUGUCCGUGCGUGUGUGUUGUGGUGUAAUGUGACCGUUGGCGACGCGUACGGCCACAGUUUUCGGGCCGGCGGUUUAAAACGAGAUUUGCGAGUGCUGGAGGAAAUGAGAAGAAUGGUUUGUGUGAGGGUCGUCGGCUCGUCGCCCCGUCGAGGGUAGGAGCGAGGGAGUAGUCACGUUUGGUUUCGUUGCGCUAAUCUAAUUAAUGAUGAUGGAUGACUGGGGCCAGGGUGGUGACACCGUAUCCAUUUUCGAAAGAACCUUUGAGUGCUCUAGUUUAUUCAGGGUCGGUAUGGAUCUCGGUUUGUAUGCAUUCUUAUAUUGCCACGGGAAAAUGGCGUUGUGGUUUGGUUAUACUGUACCAGAAUUUGAAGAUCAAAGUUCGGUAGAAAAUGUCAAAUUUCAGAGGC